rnacentral:rRNA from 1 species
GACGAACGCUGGCGGCGUGCCUAAUACAUGCAAGUCGAACGCAGUGGGGACGGGUGAGUAACACGUGGGUAACCUCCCAUCAGAGGGGAUAACACGUGGAAACAGGUGCUAAACCGAUAUUGAUGGCUGGACCCGCUGUGCAUUAGCUAGUUGGUGAGGUACAGGCUCACCAAGGCCAGGAUGCAUAGCUGGCCUGGGAGGUGGAUCGGCCACACUGGGACUGAGACACGGCCCAGACUCCUACGGGAGGCAGCAGUGGGGAAUCUUCGGCAAUGGACGAAAGUCUGACCGAGCAACGCCGCGUGAGUGAAGAAGGUUUUCGGAUCGUAAAACUCUGUUGUUAGAGAAGCGGUAGCUAAAGAAAAAGCCACGGCUAACUACGGGCCAGCAGCCGCGGUAAUAG